rnacentral:lncRNA from 1 species
GCUACGUACUGCCUCCUCUUAUGAAAGAUAAAGCCACUGACCAGUUCUGGUGCAUUAGUUGGAACGACAAAGAAAUCAAUUGGUUGAAUGGAUCCAUCGAGGUUGUUCGAUCCUGCGACGCGAACACCCAAACGACUGAGCUGAAACCCACUCCCUAAGAAAUAUGCGGAAAUGACUCAAAUGUGAAACUGUGGUGUAAUAUCUCAUUAAAAAGCAAAAAGAAAAAUAAAGAAGAAAAAGGCGGUAGGAUACUAGUAAAUUAAGUAAUAAAAAUAGUUCAAAUUUUGUUUUGGGUUGGUUGUAAGUAUUCUGUUUGCUUAAUAACUAAUUUCAUAUGAACGAUCGUUUUAUCCAAGCAAAUGUAAAUCACAUAUAUGUAUGGUAGUUAAUAAUUAUUGACAAUGAAUUAACCUACGUAGAACA